rnacentral:rRNA from 1 species
UACGGAGGGGGCUAGCGUUGUUCGGAAUUACUGGGCGUAAAGCGCACGUAGGCGGCUUUGUAAGUUAGAGGUGAAAGCCCAGGGCUCAACCCUGGAAUUGCCUUUGAGACUGCAUCGCUUGAACAUCGGAGAGGUAAGUGGAAUUCCGAGUGUAGAGGUGAAAUUCGUAGAUAUUCGGAAGAACACCAGUGGCGAAGGCGACUUACUGGACGAUUGUUGACGCUGAGGUGCGAAAGCGUGGGGAGCAAACAGG